GGGUUGUGAGGUUAAGCGACUAAGCGUACACGGUGGAUGCCCUGGCAGUCAGAGGCGAUGAAGGACGUGCUAAUCUGCGAUAAGCGUCGGUAAGGUGAUAUGAACCGUUAUAACCGGCGAUUUCCGAAUGGGGAAACCCAGUGUGUUUCGACACACUAUCAUUAACUGAAUCCAUAGGUUAAUGAGGCGAACCGGGGGAACUGAAACAUCUAAGUACCCCGAGGAAAAGAAAUCAACCGAGAUUCCCCCAGUAGCGGCGAGCGAACGGGGAGCAGCCCAGAGCCUGAAUCAGUGUGUGUGUUAGUGGAAGCGUCUGGAAAGGCGCGCGAUACAGGGUGACAGCCCCGUACACAAAAAUGCACAUACUGUGAGCUCGAUGAGUAGGGCGGGACACGUGGUAUCCUGUCUGAAUAUGGGGGGACCAUCCUCCAAGGCUAAAUACUCCUGACUGACCGAUAGUGAACCAGUACCGUGAGGGAAAGGCGAAAAGAACCCCGGCGAGGGGAGUGAAAAAGAACCUGAAACCGUGUACGUACAAGCAGUGGGAGCACGCUUCGGCGUGUGACUGCGUACCUUUUGUAUAAUGGGUCAGCGACUUAUAUUCUGUAGCAAGGUUAACCGAAUAGGGGAGCCGAAGGGAAACCGAGUCUUAACUGGGCGUUAAG
rnacentral:rRNA from 1 species